rnacentral:rRNA from 1 species
UACGUAGGGUGCAAGCGUUAAUCGGAAUUACUGGGCGUAAAGCGUGCGCAGGCGGUUUUGUAAGACAGAGGUGAAAUCCCCGGGCUCAACCUGGGAACUGCCUUUGUGACUGCAAGGCUCGAGUGCGGCAGAGGGAGGUAGAAUUCCACGUGUAGCAGUGAAAUGCGUAGAGAUGAGGAGGAAUACCGAUGGCGAAGGCAGCCUCCUGGGCCAACACUGACGCUCAUGCACGAAAGCGUGGGGAGCAAACAGG